rnacentral:rRNA from 1 species
AGUAUGUGGUUUAAUUCGAUGCAACGCGAGAACUUACCUGGUCUUGACAUCCCGGAGACCCUUAGGAAACUAGGGGUGCUUCCAUCUGGAAGAAUCUGGAGACAGGUGCUGCAUGGCUGUCGUCAGCUCGUGUCGUGAGAUGUUGGGUUAAGUCCCGCAACGAGCGCAACCCUUGCCUUUAGUUGCCAGCAGUUCGGCUGGGCACUCUAAAGGGACUGCCGGUGUUAAACCGGAGGAAGGUGGGGAUGACGUCAAGUCCUCAUGGCCUUUAUGACCAGGGCUACACACGUACUACAAUGGCCGAUACAAAGGGCAGCGACACUGCGAGGUGAAGCCAAUCCCGUAAAAUCGGUCUCAGUCCGGAUUGGAGUCUGCAACUCGACUCCAUGAAGUUGGAAUCGCUAGUAAUCGUGGAUCAGCAUGCCACGGUGAAUACGUUCCCGGGCCUU